ACGCAUCUCCGACAGACCUGGAACAGUUCCCGUCUGCUGCUGAGGUUCCGGUGCAGAUGCAAGAGAAAAGGGUCCCCGCGCUUCCCGACUGUCGACGGUGGCAGUCGAGAUUGAAUGGGGGAGCACGGGA
ensembl:snoRNA